rnacentral:rRNA from 1 species
CCUACGGGAGGCAGCAGUGGGGAAUAUUGGACAAUGGGGGGAACCCUGAUCCAGCGACGCCGCGUGAGUGAAGAAGUAUUUCGGUAUGUAAAGCUCUAUCAGCGGGGAAGAAAGCAAUGACGGUACCUGACUAAGAAGCCCCGGCUAACUACGUGCCGGCAGCCGCGGUAAUCCGUAGGGGGCAAGCGUUAUCCGGAUUUAUGGGUUUUAAGGGGUGCGCAGGCGGUCUGUUAAGUCAGCGCGCAAAGCCCGGGGCUCACCCCCGGCCCGCCGUUGAAACGGGCAGUCUCGAGUUGGAGAGAAGUAUGCGGAAUGCGCGGUGUAGCGGUGAAAUGCAUAGAUAUCGCGCAGAACUCCGAUUGCGAAGGCAGCAUGCCGGCUCCACACUGACGCUGAGGCACGAAAGCGUGGGUAUCGAACAGGAUUAGAUACCCUUGUAGUC